rnacentral:rRNA from 1 species
GACGAACGCUGGCGGCGUGCCUAAUACAUGCAAGUAGAACGCUGAAGAGAGGAGCUUGCUCUUCUUGGAUGAGUUGCGAACGGGUGAGUAACGCGUAGGUAACCUGCCUUGUAGCGGGGGAUAACUAUUGGAAACGAUAGCUAAUACCGCAUAACAAUGGAUGACACAUGUCAUUUAUUUGAAAGGGGCAAUUGCUCCACUACAAGAUGGACCUGCGUUGUAUUAGCUAGUAGGUGAGGUAACGGCUCACCUAGGCGACGAUACAUAGCCGACCUGAGAGGGUGGGCGGCCACACUGGGACUGGGACACGGCCCAGACGCCUUCGGGAGGCAGCAGGAGGGAAACUUCGGGAAGUGGGGCAACCCUGACCGAGCAACGCCGCGUGAGUGAAGAAGGUUUUCGGAUCGUAAAGCUCUGUUGUAAGUCAAGAACGAGUGUGAGAGUGGAAAGUUCACACUGUGACGGUAGCUGACCAGAAAGGGACGGCUAACUACGUG